CUAAAGGGAGAGAGGGAAGAGGGAAGGAGGGAUAACGUAGGAAAGAGAU
ensembl:miRNA